rfam:Xenopus laevis strain J chromosome 2S, whole genome shotgun sequence.
AGCCUUAUUGAAUAUCUAGACACACUCUGUUGUGAAUGUGCCCAUCUCAGUUUAAGGCAAUAUUAAGAUACAGGUUUUGCUUUCAUCAUGCAAAUUACAAAUUGCACUGGUGACAAUGAGACCUGCCACAUUU